CCGACCUUAACUCAGUUGGUAGAGCGGAGGACUGUAGAUCCUUAGGUCGCUGGUUCGAAUCCGGCAGGUCGGA
rnacentral:tRNA from 1 species